rnacentral:rRNA from 1 species
GGAGCCCCACCACUAAGCCAGUGGUGAACUCCACAUACGCAUCCUUUGCUGAGGAUACGGUUAACGGAGCGCAAGCGACGUUCAACCGCAAAAGAAGCAGAGGGGGCUUAGUGGUGGGGUGACUGCGUACCUUUUGUAUAAUGGGUCAGCGACUUAUAUUCUGUAGCAAGGUUAACCGUAUAGGGGAGCCGGAGGGAAACCGAGUCUUAAUUGGGCGUUAAGUUGCAGGGUAUAGACCCGAAACCCGGUGAUCUAGCCAUGGGCAGGUUGAAGGUUGGGUAACACUAACUGGAGGACCGAACCGACUAAUGUUGAAAAAUUAGCGGAUGACCUGUGGCUGGGGGUGAAAGGCCAAUCAAACCGGGAGAUAGCUGGUUCUCCCCGAAAGCUAUUUAGGUAGCGCCUCGUGAAUUCAUCUCCGGGGGUAGAGCACUGUUUCGGCUAGGGGGCCAUCCCGGCUUACCAACCCGAUGCAAACUGCGAAUACCGGAGAAUGUUAUCACGGGAGACACACGGCGGGUGCUAACGUCCGUCGUGAAGAGGGAAACAACCCAGACCGCCAGCUAAGGUCCCAAAGUCAUGGUUAAGUGGGAAACGAUGUGGGAAGGCCCAGACAGCCAGGAUGUUGGCUUAGAAGCAGCCAUCAUUUAAAGAAAGCGUAAUAGCUCACUGGUCGAGUCGGCCUGCGCGGAAGAUGUAACGGGGCUAAACCAUGCACCGAAGCUGCGGCAGCGAACGUAUCACUUAAAGCGAUUCAGCGGGUUACGAUUGACGGAGCGAAGCGACGUCAAAGCGUAUACAAAGUCGAGUCGGUUUAAGGAUACGUUCGUUGGGUAGGGGAGCGUUCUGUAAGCCUGUGAAGGUGUGUCGUGAGGCAUGCUGGAGGUAUCAGAAGUGCGAAUGCUGACAUAAGUAACGAUAAAGCGGGUGAAAAGCCCGCUCGCCGGAAGACCAAGGGUUCCUGUCCAACGUUAAUCGGGGCAGGGUGAGUCGACCCCUAAGGCGAGGCCGAAAGGCGUAGUCGAUGGGAAACGGGUUAAUAUUCCCGUACUUGGUGUUACUGCGAAGGGGGGACGGAGAAGGCUAUGUUGGCCGGGCGACGGUUGUCCCGGUUUAAGCGUGUAGGUGUGUGUUCCAGGUAAAUCCGGUUCACUUUAACACUGAGGCGUGAUGACGAGGCACUACGGUGCUGAAGCAACAAAUGCCCUGCUUCCAGGAAAAGCCUCUAAGCAUCAGGUAACAUCAAAUCGUACCCCAAACCGACACAGGUGGUCAGGUAGAGAAUACCAAGGCGCUUGAGAGAACUCGGGUGAAGGAACUAGGCAAAAUGGUGCCGUAACUUCGGGAGAAGGCACGCUGACAUGUAGGUGAAGUGAUUUACUCAUGGAGCUGAAGUCAGUCGAAGAUACCAGCUGGCUGCAACUGUUUAUUAAAAACACAGCACUGUGCAAACACGAAAGUGGACGUAUACGGUGUGACGCCUGCCCGGUGCCGGAAGGUUAAUUGAUGGGGUCAGCGCAAGCGAAGCUCCUGAUCGAAGCCCCGGUAAACGGCGGCCGUAACUAUAACGGUCCUAAGGUAGCGAAAUUCCUUGUCGGGUAAGUUCCGACCUGCACGAAUGGCGUAAUGAUGGCCAGGCUGUCUCCACCCGAGACUCAGUGAAAUUGAACUCGCUGUGAAGAUGCAGUGUACCCGCGGCAAGACGGAAAGACCCCGUGAACCUUUACUAUAGCUUGACACUGAACAUUGAGCCUUGAUGUGUAG